rnacentral:rRNA from 1 species
UACGAAGGGGGCUAGCGUUGCUCGGAAUCACUGGGCGUAAAGCGCACGUAGGCGGCUUUCUAAGUCAGGGGUGAAAUCCUGGAGCUCAACUCCAGAACUGCCUUUGAUACUGGAGAGCUUGAGUCCGGAAGAGGUGAGUGGAACUCCGAGUGUAGAGGUGAAAUUCGUAGAUAUUCGGAAGAACACCAGUGGCGAAGGCGGCUCACUGGUCCGGUACUGACGCUGAGGCGCGAAAGCUAGGGGAGCGAACGGG